rnacentral:snoRNA from 1 species
UACCCGCUGGCAAUGGGCAAGGAGACACCUGGUUGGUGGUGUUGCUCUUGUAUCAGUCAGGGGCAAAGCAGACGUGCAGUCCUUAGUUCAUCCUAGCCUGACGCCUGUGUCGGUGGCCAGAGCUGUUUCAAUGCCUGAGGCACAAAA